rnacentral:rRNA from 1 species
UACGUAGGGUGCGAGCGUUGUCCGGAAUUAUUGGGCGUAAAGAGCUCGUAGGCGGUGUGUCACGUCGAUCGUGAAAACUUUCAGCUUAACUGGGAGCUUGCGGUCGAUACGGGCAUCACUGGAGUUCGGCAGGGGAGACUGGAAUUCAAGGUGUAGCGGUGAAAUGCGCAGAUAUCAGGAGGAACACCGGUGGCGAAGGCGGGUCUCUGGGCCGAUACUGACGCUGAGGAGCGAAAGCGUGGGGAGCGAACAGG